rnacentral:rRNA from 1 species
GGAGGCUUGCUCCCUGAUUCAGCGGCGGACGGGUGAGUAAUGCCUAGGAAUCUGCCUAUUAGUGGGGGACAACGUUUCGAAAGGAACGCUAAUACCGCAUACGUCCUACGGGAGAAAGCAGGGGACCUUCGGGCCUUGCGCUAAUAGAUGAGCCUAGGUCGGAUUAGCUAGUUGGUGGGGUAAAGGCUCACCAAGGCGACGAUCCGUAACUGGUCUGAGAGGAUGAUCAGUCACACUGGAACUGAGACACGGUCCAGACUCCUACGGGAGGCAGCAGUGGGGAAUAUUGGACAAUGGGCGAAAGCCUGAUCCAGCCAUGCCGCGUGUGUGAAGAAGGUCUUCGGAUUGUAAAGCACUUUAAGUUGGGAGGAAGGGUUGUAGAUUAAUACUCUGCAAUUUUGACGUUACCGACAGAAUAAGCACCGGCUAACUCUGUGCCAGCAGCCGCGGUAAUACAGAGGGUGCAAGCGUUAAUCGGAAUUACUGGGCGUAAAGCGCGCGUAGGUGGUUUGUUAAGUUGGAUGUGAAAGCCCCGGGCUCAACCUGGGAACUGCAUCCAAAACUGGCAAGCUAGAGUACGGUAGAGGGUGGUGGAAUUUCCUGUGUAGCGGUGAAAUGCGUAGAUAUAGGAAGGAACACCAGUGGCGAAGGCGACCACCUGGACUGAUACUGACACUGAGGUGCGAAAGCGUGGGGAGCAAACAGGAUUAGAUACCCUGGUAGUCCACGCCGUAAACGAUGUCAACUAGCCGUUGGGUUCCUUGAGAACUUAGUGGCGCAGCUAACGCAUUAAGUUGACCGCCUGGGGAGUACGGCCGCAAGGUUAAAACUCAAAUGAAUUGACGGGGCCGCACAAGCGUGGAGCAUGUGGUUUAAUUCGAAGCACGCGA